rnacentral:rRNA from 1 species
GGUUACAGCCUUGCUGAAUUAUUCACCCUUGUCUUUUGCGUACUUCUUGUUUCCUUGGUGGGUUCGCCCACCACUAGGACAAACAUAAACCUUUUGUAAUUGCAAUCAGCGUCAGUAACAAAUUAAUAAUUACAACUUUCAACAACGGAUCUCUUGGUUCUGGCAUCGAUGAAGAACGCAGCGAAAUGCGAUAAGUAGUGUGAAUUGCAGAAUUCAGUGAAUCAUCGAAUCUUUGAACGCACAUUGCGCCCUUUGGUAUUCCAAAGGGCAUGCCUGUUCGAGCGUCAUUUGUACCCUCAAGCUUUGCUUGGUGUUGGGCGUCUUGUCUCUAGCUUUGCUGGAGACUCGCCUUAAAGUAAUUGGCAGCCGGCCUACUGGUUUCGGAGCGCAGCACAAGUCGCACUCUCUAUCAGCAAAGGUCUAGCAUCCAUUAAGCCUUUUUUUCAACUUUUGACCUCGGAUCAGGUAGGGAUACCCGCUGAACUUAAG